GGACUUACCUGGCGGGGGGGACAGUCGGCGGUCAUGAUGGCCGAUCUCCCAGGACCAGGCUAUCCCAUUGCACUUCGGGUGUGGUGACGCCGGCGAUGUUCCCAAAUGCGGGGUACUCAACGGCAACAUUUGUGGUAGUGGGGGACUGCAUUCGCGUU